rnacentral:tRNA from 1 species
GCCGAGAUCAGUUGCUGGGGUUCAGACGGCUUGGUUCGCACUGCGUAGGUCGUAGGUUCGAUUCCUAUUUCCGGCACCA